AUGAACGCUAGCGACAGGCCUAACACAUGCAAGUCGAGGGGCAGCGGGGAGGUAGCAAUACCUUUGCCGGCGACCGGCGCACGGGUGAGUAACACGUAUGCAAUCCACCUGUAACAGGGGGAUAACCCGGAGAAAUCCGGACUAAUACCCCAUAAUAUGGGCGCUCCGCAUGGAGAGCCCAUUAAAGAGAGCAAUCUUGGUUACAGACGAGCAUGCGCUCCAUUAGCCAGUUGGCGGGGUAACGGCCCACCAAGGCGACGAUGGAUAGGGGUUCUGAGAGGAAGGUCCCCCACAUUGGAACUGAGACACGGUCCAAACUCCUACGGGAGGCAGCAGUGAGGAAUAUUGGUCAAUGGUCGGCAGACUGAACCAGCCAAGUCGCGUGAGGGAAGACGGCCCUACGGGUUGUAAACCUCUUUUGUCGGAGAGUAAAGUACGCUACGCGUAGCGUAUUGCAAGUAUCCGAAGAAAAAGCAUCGGCUAACUCCGUGCCAGCAGCCGCGGUAAUACGGAGGAUGCGAGCGUUAUCCGGAUUUAUUGGGUUUAAAGGGUGCGUAGGCGGCACGCCAAGUCAGCGGUGAAAUUUCCGGGCUCAACCCGGACUGUGCCGUUGAAACUGGCGAGCUAGAGUGCACAAGAGGCAGGCGGAAUGCGUGGUGUAGCGGUGAAAUGCAUAGAUAUCACGCAGAACCCCGAUUGCGAAGGCAGCCUGCUAGGGUGAAACAGACGCUGAGGCACGAAAGCGUGGGUAUCGAACAGGAUUAGAUACCCUGGUAGUCCACGCAGUAAACGAUGAAUACUAACUGUUUGCGAUACAAUGUAAGCGGUACAGCGAAAGCGUUAAGUAUUCCACCUGGGGAGUACGCCGGCAACGGUGAAACUCAAAGGAAUUGACGGGGGCCCGCACAAGCAGUGGAUUAUGUGGUUUAAUUCGAAGCAACGCGAAGAACCUUACCAGGUCUUGACAUCCGACUAACGAGAUAGAGAUAUGUCAGGUGCCCUUCGGGGAAAGUCGAGACAGGUGGUGCAUGGUUGUCGUCAGCUCGUGCCGUGAGGUGUCGGCUUAAGUGCCAUAACGAGCGCAACCCCUAUGGACAGUUACUAACGGGUGAAGCCGAGGACUCUGUCGAGACUGCCGGCGCAAGCCGCGAGGAAGGUGGGGAUGACGUCAAAUCAGCACGGCCCUUACGUCCGGGGCGACACACGUGUUACAAUGGCAGGUACAGAAGGCAGCCAGUCAGCAAUGACGCGCGAAUCCCGAAAACCUGUCUCAGUUCGGAUUGGAGUCUGCAACCCGACUCCAUGAAGCUGGAUUCGCUAGUAAUCGCGCAUCAGCCAUGGCGCGGUGAAUACGUUCCCGGGCCUUGUACACACCGCCCGUCAAGCCAUGGAAGCCGGGAGUACCUGAAGCAUGCAACCGCAAGGAGCGUACGAAGGUAAUACCGGUAACUGGGGCU
rnacentral:rRNA from 1 species